CAUUACUGAGUUAUCAAAACUCCAAACCCUUUGUGAACCUUACCGUCGUUGCCUCGGCGUGAGCUACGGCUACCCUGUAACUACCCUGGAGCUACCCUAGAGUUACCCUAUAGCUACCCUGCACUUACCCUGCAGCUACCCUAUAGCUACCCUGGAGCUACCCUGGAGCUACCCUGUAGUCGGCUUCGGCCCGCCGAAGGACCGUUAAACUCUUGUUUUUACCACUGUUUCUCUGAAUUCUAAACUAAAAUAAGUUAAAACUUUCAACAACGGAUCUCUUGGUUCUGGCAUCGAUGAAGAACGCAGCGAAAUGCGAUAAGUAAUGUGAAUUGCAGAAUUCAGUGAAUCAUCGAAUCUUUGAACGCACAUUGCGCCCACUAGUAUUCUAGUGGGCAUGCCUAUUCGAGCGUCAUUUCGACCCCUAAGCCCCUGUUGCUUAGCGUUGGGAAUCUACGGCGUAGUUCCUCAAAGUUAGUGGCGGAGUUAGGGUACACUCUCAGCGUAGUAAUUUCUCUCGCUCGUGUGGUGGCCCUGGCUGCUGGCCGUUAAAACCCCUAUAUUUUCUAGUGGUUGACCUCGGAUUAGGUAGGAAUACCCGCUGAACUUAAGCAUAUCAAUAAGCCGGA
rnacentral:rRNA from 1 species